GUACCGUGCGAAGAGCAGCAGGAGGCCCUGGGUGGCGCAGGGCCCCGGGGACCUGCCCGCGGGGCUGGAGGGGACAGAGGAGCAGGUGGCGCCAGCAAGGGGAGAGCCUGUUGCUGGGAGAGACUGAAGACACUGGAGCGGCCUCUUUCGAGGCGUUGCUCGUGGCAGGCCAGGACUCAGCACCCUGGCUCAGAUCCCCGGCCAGCACCGCAUGCUUCAGCCAGUGCAGAUUGCUGCUGCUUACUGAGUAUUCACUGAAUGGCCCAUAUGACGCCUCAGUCUUCUUUCCUGAGUGGUUAUGGUUCAUGUAGAGUGGAUCCCCCAGUAAAAGAAGACUUGUUCUACUAAGACCCUGGCAGUGGUUGGGCACAUGCCAGACAGUUUUCACAAUAUUGUUGCACAUCCAUCCUAAGAAGUGGCCACCAUCCUACAGAUGCAAGACAUUGGACAGUUUUGUCCACUCCCUGAUGUCCUCCUGUAGGAGUGUCAUGGACCAUGUACAUCAUUUCCCUCUGAAGAUGUUCUUGGUAGCUGAAGCAGCAAGAAAACAAAGAGCUUUGUUAUUCUGGAUUUUGAAAGGUUCAUAAAAGAAAAGGCAUUGAAGUAUCUUCAAAAACAACACUGUACAAGGUACUAGAGUGCCCAGAGAUGCCCAUGGUACCAGGUGCUGAACGUCAGUAGUCUGCAAAUCCUCAUGAAUGACCAUCCAAAUGAUCAAUCUUCAUGAUCCAUUCCGUGGUGAGCUGGGAAAAAAAAUGCAUUUGCUAAUCAAUGUCUGAACAGUCUGAAGCUCC